AUACUUACCUGGCAGGGGAGGUACCAUGAUCACGAAGGUGGUUUUCCCAGGGCAAGGCUUAUCCAUUGCACUCCGGAUGUGCUGACCCCUGCGAUUUCCCCAAAUGUGGGAAACUCGACUGCAUAAUUUGUGGUGUAU
rnacentral:snRNA from 1 species